AUUGAACGCUGGCGGCAGGCCUAACACAUGCAAGUCGAGCGGAGCGGCGGACGGGAGAGUAAUGCCAAGGAAUCUGCCUGGUAGUGGGGGAUAACGUCCGGAAACGGGCGCGAAUACUGAAAACUAUCAGAUGAGCCUAGGGCGGAUUAGGUAGGUGGUGGGGUAAAGGCCUACACAGGCGACGAACCGUAACUGGUCUGAGAGGAUGAUCAGUCACACGGGAACUGAGACACGGGCCAGACUCCUACGGGAGGCAGCAGUGGGGAAUAUUGGACAAUGGGCGCAAGCCUGAUCCAGCCAUGCCGCGUGUGUGAAGAAGGUCUUCGGAUUGUAAAGCACUUUAAGUUGGGAGGCGUUACCAGCAGAAUAAGCACCGGCUAACUUCGUGCCAGCAGCCGCGGUAAUAC
rnacentral:rRNA from 1 species